GGAGAUUUAGCUCAGCGGUAGAGCCCUUGCCUAGCAAGCGCAAGGCCCUGGGUUCGGUCCCCAGCUCCG
rnacentral:tRNA from 1 species